AAAGAUUAAGCCAUGCAUGUAUAAGUAUAACCUGCCAGACAGGGAAACUGCGUACGGCUCAUUACACCAGCUGUAAUUUACUUGACCUUGACAACCUACUUGGAUGACUGUGGUAAUUCUAGAGCUAAUACAUGCACCAAAGCUCCGAUCCUCGCGGAGAGGAGCGCAUUUGUUCGCCACAAAACCAAGCGCCUUCACAGGCGUUCAGUGUUGACUCAGAACAACUCAGCUGAUCGCACGGUCUUGCACCGGCGACGUGUCUUUCAAGUGUCUGCCUUAUCAACUUUCGAUGGUAGUGUACCUGACUACCAUGGUGAUGACGGGUAACGGAGGAUAAGGGUUCGACUCCGGAGAAGGGGCCUGAGAAAUGGCCACUACGUCUAAGGAUGGCAGCAGGCGCGCAAAUUACCCACUCUCAACAUGAGGAGGUAGUGACGAGAAAUAACGAGACUGUUCUCACAUGAGGCCAGUUAUUGGAAUGGGUACAAUUUAAACCCUUUAACGAGUAUCUAUGAGAGGGCAAGUCUGGUGCCAGCAGCCGCGGUAAUUCCAGCUCUCAAAAUGCAUAGAAUUAUUGCUGCGGUUAAAAAGCUCGUAGUUGGAUCUGUGUUGGCCGCCCGGUCUGCCCCUCGUGGUAUGCACUGGUGCGGUCGGCUUUUCUGUCGGAAUGCCUCACAGCGUUGGCCUUCAUCGGCUGGCGUUGCGGGUCCGGCAAGUUUACUUUGAACAAAUCAGAGUGCUUCAAACAGGCGUCUCGCCUGAAUGUUCGUGCAUGGAAUAAUAGAAGAGGAUCACGGUCCGAUUUUAUUGGUUUUGCUGACCGAGAUAAUGGUUAACAGAGACAAACGGGGCCAUUCGUAUUGCUGCGUGAGAGGUGAAAUUUUUGGACCGCAGAAAGACGCACUACAGCGAAAGCAUUUGCCAAGAAUG
rnacentral:rRNA from 1 species